AGUGAACGCUGGCGGCAGGCCUAACACAUGCAAGUCGAGCGGCAGCGCGUCCGACCACCCUCGGGUGGUCGGAUGGCGGCGUGCGGCGGACGGGUGAGGAAUGCAUCGGAAUCUGCCUCGUUGUGGGGGAUAACGUAGGGAAACUUACGCUAAUACCGCAUACGACCUACGGGUGAAAGUGGGGGACCUUCGGGCCUCACGCGAUGAGAUGAGCCGAUGCCGGAUUAGCUAGUUGGCGGGGUAAAGGCCCACCAAGGCGACGAUCCGUAGCUGGUCUGAGAGGAUGAUCAGCCACACUGGAACUGAGACACGGUCCAGACUCCUACGGGAGGCAGCAGUGGGGAAUAUUGGACAAUGGGGGGCAACCCUGAUCCAGCCAUGCCGCGUGUGUGAAGAAGGCCUACGGGUUGUAAAGCACUUUUGUUGGGGAAGAAACCGGCCGGGUUAAUACCCUGGUUGAAUGACGGUACCCAAAGAAUAAGCACCGGCUAACUUCGUGCCAGCAGCCGACGG
rnacentral:rRNA from 1 species